rnacentral:rRNA from 1 species
UACGCAGGGUGCAAGCGUUAUCCGGAUUCACUGGGUUUAAAGGGUGCGUAGGCGGGGAAGUAAGUCCGUGGUGAAAUCUCUGAGCUUAACUCAGAAACUGCCGUGGAUACUAUUUGCCUUGAAUAUUGUGGAGGUGAGCGGAAUAUGUCAUGUAGCGGUGAAAUGCUUAGAUAUGACAUAGAACACCAAUUGCGAAGGCAGCUCACUACACAAUCAUUGACGCUGAGGCACGAAAGCGUGGGGAUCAAACAGG